rnacentral:rRNA from 1 species
GACGAACGCUGGCGGCGUGCUUAACACAUGCAAGUCGAACGAUGAAGAAGAGAAACGCGCACUUCGGUUCAAAUUUCACUUCGGAUUGGUGGCGACCGGGGAGGUAAGGCGUGGGCACCCUACCUCUUACAAAGGGAUGGCCUGGGGAAACGGUAUUUAUUACAUUUGAACACUUUCAUAAGCAACCUAGGGAAGGUUAAGCUACGGCGGUAAGAGAUGGGCUCGCGGCCCAUUAGCUAGUUGGUGAGGUAACGGCCCACCAAGGCGACGAUGGGUAACCGGCCUGAGAGGGUGAACGGUCACAUUGGAACUGAGACACGGUCCAAACUCCUGCGGGAGGCAGCAGUGGGGAAUAUUGCACAAUGGAGGGAACUCUGAUGCAGCGACGCCGCGUGAGCGAUGAAGGAAUUCGUUUCGUAAAGCUCUGUUCUAUGGGAAGAAAAGGACUGUACCAUAGGAGAAAGCCCCGGCUAAAUACGUG